rnacentral:lncRNA from 1 species
AUGAAUUUGGUGAUAUGAUAUGAUACAUCAUCUUUAAUAUCGCAUUUUAUAAAAAUAAAAAAUGUUAAAAAAGUACAAAAAUUUAUUUCUUUUUUCUUCUUUGUCUUUCCCAUUAUACUUUCUUUCCCUUUCCUUUUUUUCUUUACUUUAUUUUCUUGUCUUUUUUUCCGCUUUCUUCUUCUUUCUUUUUCUUCUCCACAAAAACCCUAGCGACAUUCUUUCAAGCCAUGCCAUCGUAUGCCGUGCUCUGUUUACACGGUCGGCGUCGUUCGUCGGUGCCAGUGUCUUCUUUCUCUCUUACUCCCUCUCUCUCCUUUCGUUUCUUCUUUUUUUUUCUUCUUCCUCUCGAUAAUUUACACGGUUUAUAUCUUUCAGAAUUCAACACGAUUUGUUCAGAAUUGAACCUUUAGUCCCGAACUAUUCUCUUUUCGAUCUCAGAGCUCCACCGUGUCACAAACUUGAGCUUCACCCUCUAGAUCGUCAAGAAAGUGACCGGAUCUCCACGAAUCAAACUUUGAUUGAAAAAAGGUCUUCGAAAGAGGGUAUUUUCUUUUAAAAGAAUUGUUUGAUUGGUUAUUGGCUGAUGAUGUUUAUUGUCGUUUGUUAGCUUUAGAUGAGAUUUGUUAGGCAUGGGGAUGUUAGUGGUUUAUGAGUUGGCGAUGGUGAUCGAUGGAGCAAGAAAGAGAUAGGGUUGGCCGAGGUGGUCUCGAUUUAGGGUGGUGACAAUGGUGGCUUGGUGUAUGUUGGUUAGUGUGCUGGGGUAAUGAUUGAAGGGUAUUGAGAUCGAGGGAGAAGGCAUGAGUGUAGGGAACAUGUAGUUGAGAGAGAAGAAGAAUUCGAAAGAGGGGGAAAUCUAAUAAAGAAAAUGAACUACGAAAUGAAGAUUUUUAAAUUAUUUUUUAAAAAAAUUCUCAAUAUUUUCUUUUUUGCAAUUUUGUGAGAUUUAAACCCAAAAAAAAAAAAUAAUGGUCGAAGUUUAAAAGAUCUCAAAUGCU